rnacentral:rRNA from 2 species
CCUACGGGAGGCAGCAGUAGGGAAUCUUCCACAAUGGGCGCAAGCCUGAUGGAGCAACACCGCGUGAGUGAAGAAGGGUUUCGGCUCGUAAAGCUCUGUUGUUAAAGAAGAACACGUAUGAGAGUAACUGUUCAUACGUUGACGGUAUUUAACCAGAAAGUCACGGCUAACUACGUGCCAGCAGCCGCGGUAAU